UGGGGAAUCUUGCACAAUGGGGGCAACCCUGAUGCAGCGACGCCGCGUGAGCGAUGAAGCCCUUCGGGGCGUAAAGCACUUUCGACCGGAACGAUAAUGACGGUACCGGGAGAAGAAGCUGCGGCUAACUACGUGCCAGCAGCCGCGGGAAUACGUAGGCAGCAAGCGGUGUUCGGAGUUACUGGGCGUAAAGAGUGCGUAGGCGGUUUUUUAAGUUCGGUGUGAAAUCUCCCGGCUUAACUGGGAGGGUGCGCCGAAGACUGGGAAGCUGGAGUGUGGGAAAGGCGGGCGGAAUUCCUGGUGUAGCGGUGAAAUGCGUAGAUAUCAGGAGGAACACCGGCGGUGUAGACGGCUUGCUAGACCAUAACUGACGCUGAGGCACGAAAGCGUGGGUAGCAAACA
rnacentral:rRNA from 1 species